UGGUCAUUAAUUUUUCUUUCUCUCAUUCUCGCGUUCCUUCGUCCCCUCGACUUCUUCGUCGUGGCAUGGAGCUUGUGCUGCGACUUCUUUGUCGCGACAUUGAGGGAGUUGGCACUGCUAGCACCUCGACUUCUUCUCACACUCAUAUACACUUCUUCAUGCCUCACACAUAAUUCCAAAAUCGCUAGAAACAAACCACACACACUCUCUCUGUCUCACAUUCCUACGUUUUUUGUGCUCCGACGCCGAACAACCAUAAGAUCUACACCACAGUCGGAAUCAGCCUCAACGACAGAUGCGUGUUGGCAGGAAUCAUCAACUUUGUGGUAAAUAAAAAUCACACUUGUGUUUGGUGUUGUUUGAAAGAGGAAAAAACCUAAGGUCGAAGCCCAACACUCACAUUACAGCAUGAAAGGAAGGUUGAGAGAUAAGUAAAGCAAAGGAAUGACGAACAUAGACAUCAAAGGGAUCUUGAAGCAGAGGCUGAUGAUGGGUGUGUUCCGAAGAAGAAAAUAGUGAGGACUUUGUGCCCUACUUCUUGAUUCGUGGAAUUGACUGAGAAGCUUCUUAUAGGUUUUUGAUAAUUCUGUGGAGACUUUUGCUUCUGGGGCAUGGAGUGCUUUAGGGAAUGCAUGGACGGGGGCAUUGAUUUUGUUCAGUGUACAUCCGUCUCCAUAUUGCAGAAGGGUGCGAUCCAGUUAACAAACUUUACUACUACGACUUGUCCAAACUUCCUAAUGCGCUGGAAGACUUUCGGAAUGGAAAUUCCCUCCUCCUAUUGGCCAAACUUAUUGAUAACUUUGAUGCACAGUAUGAAGCCAUUGCCAAUGAUGACACCGUGUUUACAUUUUUAACUAAUAAAGAUGCUCCAAGUAUACCAAGUUCUACAAGUAAGAUAUUGAUUGAAUCAGUAAAUAAGGGAAGGGAUAUCAAUAAAAAAAAAUAAAAAAUUCAAGAGAAGAAGCAUUAGAAUAUUGAUUUUGUCAAUUCCUUCACAUGCAGUCCACGAAAUUAGCCAAUCAAUUCAUCUAUUAUUCCUUUUAUUAUUGAUUCAGAUUACUAACUCUUUAGCUUUUAUCAAUCUAAGUUGUGAGGUCCUUUCAGUUUAUGUUUUUUUUUUAAAUGAAUCCUAGCAAAUGGAGGAGCAGUUCAAGACUUUGAUUGUCUUGUCUCACUAUUUGGAGGUAACCAUCAACUUUAGUUGCGAGAGGACUUAGCAGUCAUUUGAAAUUAGAAAUUAAUGUAUGCCGCCUAUGAAAUAGUAAUUAGUUAUGAUUAAUGUCUAUGAAUGAUGUGACCUGGUCAAAAUUAUUGGACAUGCAUUUUUUUUACUUUCCAUAAUCACAUGAUGUUACUUAUAGCUAUAAUCCAUCCAAGUCUCACCCUCCACCUAUGUUUUCGAUGUUGCUUUAUUUUAAAAAUAAAUAAAAUUUAGAAAUUAAUUGCUUUUAUAUUAGGCCUUUUGUAUGCAAUUGCUUUGUGAUAAUUUAUUUUGCUCUAUGAAAUUUGGAUCUCGGUGACCAAUGAAUUAACUUACUUGCUCCAUGAAAUUUGGAUCUUGGUGACCAAUGAAUUAACUUACAUUCCAGAGCCCCUUCUAAAGGUCUCUCUCACUUUCUCUCUCUCCCACUGAAAUUAUCAACAGCUAGUAUGAUUUUUAGUAUUAUUUACUAAUUAAAUAACUUGUUUAAUCUAAUUUAAAUUGUUUGGUAAUCAAUUUUUUUAAUAAAUUAUAGUAUUUUUUUAAGACUAUACUUCAAGCAAGUUUUUAAAACACCAGCUUCAAAGUUUAUUUUUUUUCUUUUAUUCUUAAAGUUUUUGUUGAAUUUUACCCUUUUCUAGACAAUGUAAGAAUUUAUAUAUUGUUUCUCUUCUACUUAUAAGGUAAUAUUUCAUCCGUGCUAAAAAAAUAUUUUAUUUGUUCAUAUAACAUUUAUUGGAGAAGCUUCUCGAGUCAGCGGGCGCCCAUUGAACCCAACAAAGCUGAAGAGUGAGGGACGUUGUGUCGGUGUUUCAACAGAUGUGGUUUCGGACGCUACCAAACCCGAUUACCCGAUCAUGUAUGCCAGUGUCGGGUUUUUCAAGAUGACGCGCUAUACAUCAAAGGAGGUCAUAGGGAGGAACUGGUCUAAGAAAUUCAGGUCAAAAUGGAAGACAGGCAUAAGUUCCAGGAAGUUCCAAAGCCAAAAUAUGAUUGUCUUUUACUUGAGAAGGUACUAGUUUAGUUUCACCAAAAUAACCCGCAGACGCAAACGUUCAAAACACAUCCGUCUGCCCCAACAUUACAAGUGGCAUUAUAAUUCAAGGGCUGACCAUUCUUGCUCCAGUUGACUCACCAAACACUGAUGGAAUAGAUCCAGGCGACUCAUGUUUAAGAAAGAAUUUGACACAAGCUAUGUGGGAUUCAAUUCUGGAUCAGAGCUUCUCUCUCGUCAGAAUUUAUGUAAUGCGUACCUUGACUUCAAAAUACAUGUCAUCUUGCUACCUUCUAUAUGGCUGCUCUGUGCCACUAUAUGGAAUUGACUCCUAUGCUUUUGACAUUAGUUUGUAAAUAUUGCAAUUCAACUUGUUUAUUUACGGAAUAAUUCAUUCAGCCUUAUUUUGGUUGCUAAAGAAAAAAAUAAUUGCUUAUAAUUUUUGUUUGAGUGCAGCCAAAUUGCUAUUCCAGAGUUAUAAGUGUUAAUGUCGAUGAACAUAUUAUAAUAUUUGCGAAGAGGGACAUUAAACAGUGGGAAGAGCUUACAUAUGAUUACAGGUUUACCUCUUCUCCAAAUGAGGCAGAGGGAGCAAUUGUUGUUAUUAUUAUUAGGAAAAUUUAAAGAUAGAAUGACUUAAAAACUUUGGGUCUGCUGGCAUGUUCACAAAUGCAAGGCCGUAUCUGCUGUUAGUGGCAGUUCAAUUUGGGUCUGCUGGCAUGUUCAUAUUUGGGAUGGAUUCUAUAAAGAAGGGUAUGAGCCAUUACGUGUUCAUCGUCUAUCGUAAUGCCAUCGCCUCUGUAUCUCUUGCUCC